rnacentral:lncRNA from 1 species
ACGAAAAUAUAAUGAACAGUUUCAACCCUGAAAAGUGCUCCAAUGAUUACAUUUUUAAGUUUAAUUGUUGAGACGCUCCAAGAAUCAAGAUUAGAACCAGAAACAAAAUGCAAAAGAAAGCAAUUGAAGAAGAAUAUUAUAUCGCAUGAAGGAUGUGAUCAUUUCAAUUAGUGACUAAUGUAUAAUACAAAAAAAAGGCGGUUAGGCCAAUUGAUGGGUACAAAAUUGUGAAGCUAGAAUUGAGGCUAAAUCUAUUUAAUUUACAGUCUAGCUAAGAAAAAUGGAAAGGAUCAGUCAUGGUAGCAGAGAAGCAUAACGACGCAUCGUCGAAUGAUGUAGAGUUUGGCCCUUUGUUCUCUUAGAACACCUCCGAAGCCUCUGCUCGAAAUUCUUCUCUUGCUGCUGCUGCUGUUCAUCUUCAUCUUGAUUGAUUGAUUUAGAGAGAGAGAGAGAGAGUUUGUGCUGUGUUGUGUGUUGUUGGUGAAUAAGAUUAAUUUGAAGAAUGAAGAGAGUAGAAGGGGUUCUUAUAGGGUGUGUGGUCGACUAAAGAGGCAACGAUGGGGCAUCAAACGGCGUCAAAGUGGCCCACACUGUUCCCCCCACGCCUAGCUUCCUUGAGAUUGCAUUGCCC